CUUUGAAGAAGGUCCUCAACAGCCCUAACAUCUGACCUCCAUAUCCUACUCUAUCUCCUUUCUCUUUCCCACAGCCCCCUGAUGAAGUUGUGUUAAAUUAUUUGCUAACACUCUGCUCUUAUUUACCCAUAAAUUUGAAAAACUGAUCAUGUAGUCAUUGAUAAAAAGGAUAAAAUUAUUGCAUGAUGUAAAGGAUGGCUUGGAGACACUAUAGAAACAUGUUUGUAAAUUGAUAGUGAUCCACAGUGAAAAUAUUGCUUACCUGGAGUUUAUUCCUGUGUUAGCCCAAGCAGAUCUUUGUUUGGGGUUGUAGUGGACAGAUCAUAAAGUGACCCCCUCCUAGUGUUCCUCUUCUGGUGUUCACGCCCUUGUAUAUCUCCUCCCCUUGAGUUUGGGUGCUACUUAUGAGUUGCUUCUAACCAGUAGAAUAUGGCAAUGGUGAUGCAGUGUCUCUCCUCGAUUGUUAAGUUUUAUACCUUGUCUUGCUAGAGACUCUCUCUUGCUGGCUUUGAAGAGAUAAGUAGCCAUGUUAGAAGGCCCACCUACCAAGGGGGUGAGGGUGGCCUCUAGGAGCUGAGGAUUGCCUCUAGCCAACAGCCAGAAGGAAGCUAGGGCUCUUGGUCUCACAGCCAUAAGUAAGUAAAUUCUGCCAACAACCUGAGAGAAAUUGGAAAAGGAUACUUCUCCAGUCAGGCCUCCAGAUGAAAACACAGCCUGUCUGAUAGUUAGAUUAUUGCAGCCUGAACCCAGAGAAUCCAGCUAAGCCUUGACCAUGUUCUUGACCCACAGAAAUAGUAAGAUACAUAUAGUACAGACUAAAUAUAGGGUGUGUGUGUGUAUAUAUGUGUGUGUAUGUAUAUAUAUAUAACAUACAGUGUAUAUAGUAAAUAUAUAGUGAUGUAGUAAAUGUAUAUAUAUAUUUUUUGUAAGACACUAUGAUUGUAGCAGUUUGUUAGCAUAGAAAACUAAUUCAGGGUCUUAUAGUGAGUAAACAAACCAUUUAGAUAUGUGCCUUGGUUCUGAUCCCUGCUUCAGAUUAUAUUGCCUCUUUAGUCAGAUGGCUGAUUCAGAACUCAGAAGAGGUAGGAUCUAAGAUAAGUCCCAUUAAACUAUGACCAACAAUUUCCUUUCCUUCUCUAUGCUUCCUUUUCUCAUCUGUAAAAUGAGAACAUCAUAGUGGAUGAGCUCUAAGGAAACUUUCAGCUCAAGUAUUUUAUGCCUACUGCCCACAAAGACGAAGAUACCCUUGAAAUAAAUUUGAACUGAGGGGAAGCAGAAAAUAAUGAAGUUUGGAAAUAAUGAAACAAAAAUGAGCAAAUAUUGAAGGCUAAAAGGAAAUACAGCUUAGAAUAGAAAGUUUAAGAAGCCCAUACACUGAUAGACCCCAGAAAAGUCAAUGAAAUGAAAUGAUCCAGGCAGUUACAGAAGUGAUGCUGGCACAUCCAGCCAAGUGGGCAAUGGAACCACUAGUACCUCCCAUCUUGGUUUUAUGGACUUCAUUCUGAAGACAUCUGGGGAUGGGGGUGUUUAAUCUAGCUCAGAUCAUUUCCAGUGAAAGAAAAAAGAACUUACCUUUAGCCCAAAUCUGAGAAACUUUGCGCAGAAAUGCUCUUCAUGUCCUCCACCCCUAAUAACAGUCGUUGCUCGUUAUUAGACCACUGUCCUGGCUUCUGGUUAGUCGGAAGAGCAGAGCCAGUGUUCCUAGAAGUAAACCAGACCAACAAACUCAUGUGAAAUAGUUUUUUGGGUCUCCAUUUUCUAAUGCUACAUAAAGAAAGGCUUUGAAUAGCACUGGAUUCUGGGAAGAACCAUGGAGAGUAUUUUCUAAGAUUUCAAGUCAAUGGAUAUAACUGAGAACAUAAAUUCUAAAACCAUCAUAAGCUGAAUGCUGGAAAAAGAGAAGCAAGUGUUCUUUUCAGUAUGAAGAAAAAAAAAAUGCCCUGCUCAUUAAGACCUUAGAAUGAAUCUACUCUUACAAGUCUAAUCCAUGAAUAAACUAAGAAAUAGAACUUUGCUGAAAAAUUCCUCAAGGAUUUACAAGUUGCUGUAAGUCCCCAAGGAGUGGGGUUUGAGCUAUAAAGUUGCCUGAGGUACACAAGUCUGUACAGUGUAGUAAGAAUUUGGAAACUGACAUCUGUCCACAACAAAGACACUACUGAUACCAAAAUCAGAGCUAUCUGGCUUUCUGUCCCCAUGUUAAAUAGUCCUUAGUGUGGGUUUAAGGGUAGCUUAAUGGUUGCUGGCUUAAGAAAGAGGGAAUUUUGAGCGACUGUUAGAUGUGUUAAAGCAGAAGAGCCAAUCUAGAUUUCUUAAAAACCUAGGAUUUUAAAUCAUUUAAUUUAUUAUCUUAAACUGAUCAUAUAAUUCAUCCAAUCAUAUUCAAAAUUCUUAACUACUUAGAAACAUAUCCAUAAUAAUGGAAUAAUUCUUUGCCAACUCUUAGAUUUUGUAACAAACUCAGCUGAACAUUCAGUGUGUUAUUUUGGAUGGACAUCAGUUAAAAACACAGUCAUGAAACUGGACUAUAGUAAGACUAAGGACAUUGACAGUCUUGCAUAUAUUAUACCAGUCUCUGCUGCUCAAUCCAUUAGUGAAGCCUGUGUCGGCCAAAUUCAACAUUCCUUUCUUCCUCAACUGAGGAAGAAUCCAAUUUGGAAGAAUGGGAGAUAGGAAAAUAAUCAACUCUGGGGGCAUAAGAAUGCCUGGUCAGAGUAAGGAUUAUUUUAUCUUCUGCAUUAUUUUAAUAAUUAGACCAAGUCAAAAAUCUUGAAGUCAGUGAUCAGUAGUCAUCGUACCACCUUAAACAGACAGCCCAAUGCCCAUCAGAUGGAGAACCUCAGGGAAAUGUUUCAUGACCCUUAGAUCUCCUCAGGAUGGCCUUUUUAUUUACCUUUGAGUUCAGUCAGACUUGCUAGUUCACAUUCAAGAAUUCAAUAAAAGAAUAUUUUUAGAAAUUUCAGUAUAUUUAAUUACAUACCGAACACUCAUUCACCAAAAAAAAAAAGUAUUGGUAUCCAACCAUGUUUAAAACAUCUUGCCAGUUAGAGAGAUCAGUUUGGGGAGAGAGAGAAGGAAGUAAGACAUAUCUCCUGGCCUCUAAGAAUACCUAGUCCUAGUGCAAGAAAUGAGAUGUGGUCACAUACAACCACAAUACAAGGUAAGAUGCGCUGUAAGAGAAGUACAGGCAGGACACAGUGUGAGUUUGAGGAAUGAAGGAUUAUUUGGGAUUGGCAGGAUUCUAAAAUAUUCAACAGUAUUUGUCAUUGAUUUCACAAUAUGGAGAUAAGUAUCAGAUUUAUCUUAGAAUCAAGGAUCUCAGAAAUAAGAGAAUUCUGAGAAAUGGAAUCCAAUCCUCUAUUCCAUGGGUUCUUAAGUAGAAAUCCAUGGACCGACUUUAAGGUAUUUGGACCCCCCCUGUAUUGCCUCUUAUUCUCUAUUCCCUUUGAAAUCUCACCCUCUUCUAUCCUGUCAUUAAAUAUUGAAGUUCAUCGAAUGUUUAUCUCAGGCCCAUUCAUCCAUAGCCAUGAUGUCAAUGGCUAAAAAUAGCAGUUAUUCCUAAAUUUAUCUCUCUAGUCAAGAUCUCAUCUCUAAGUUCCAUAUAUUUCACUGCCUACUUGACAUCUCCACUGGGAAAACACAACAUGUCCAAGAGAUACCUCAUAAUCUUCCCCCUCAGUCCUGGUCCUCUUUUAUAGUUACCUGCUGCAUUCAUCUUUAAGCCCCCACAACCCUAUCCCCACACACAGAAAUUAGAUCUUCUUUUAUCAACUCAUGUCUAAUCAUGUCACACUUUAAGAUCCUUCAACAGCCUCCCACUGCUUAUGAUUUACAGACCAAAGCCUACACAAGGCUUCAUGAUUUGGGAUGCUGUUGGCUGCAAAUAACAGAACCCUCACUCAACUAGCCUAAAUGAUAAUGUUGUCACUUAACACAAGGUCCUUAAAAUAGUGGCUCCAGAUGGAUCAUCAGUAUCUUUAAGGACCCAAUUUUCUUUCAUCUUUCUUCUCUACCAUUGAAUUUUUUUUAAGAUUUCUGGUUUAUGUUCACCAUGGGUUAAUCGUGAAAGAAAAAUUUUCUUUCCAUGUCAAUCCCUCCUUGAAUUGUUAUUUAAAGUGUUUUCAUUUUGUCCUUUAAUUGUGGUGAGGGCACUUUUACAAGGAACUUUCAAGUAUGAUUAGAUAAGGUCCCAUGGGAUAUGUUAUUUCACCAAGGUGCACAUUUUUGAGAACUACCACCCUGGUCACAUGACCAAAAACCAUCAUAGGCCCCUACCAACUUAUCUAUAAAGCCUCAGCAGACAGUGAGUAUCAAGGUCAGAAGCCUUCAGUUGUAUUGGACUGAAAUGUUUAAUAGUGUUCAGUCAAGCAUGGCUGCCUUCCAGUAAGAUAAAAUAUUCAUCAAUUGUGAGUCAUAAAUUCUCCCCUUGCCUUGUACUUUGCUAUAGUGAAUGGGAACAGGACUGUAAUUCAAGGGAUAGAUAAGGAAAUAAAAAGGAAUAUAAGUAUAAUUUCUUAUUUUAGAGCCAUAUUGUGGGGAGAAGCACACCAGGCAGAAAGGCACCAUGAGAUACCUUCCUUGGAAUGGCACAAUGGUGACAGCAACACAGUUUGCCAACCUAAACACACUAGGUUCUGAUCCAAUAUCAACUGCAAAAAAGAAUUUGAUAAACAGAAAGUCAUUUGCAGUGAAAAAUGCUUUGUUGCUGGAGUUCCCAUGGUGGCACAGCAGAAAUGAAUCCGACUAGGAACAAUGAGGUUGCAGGUUCAAUCCCUGGCCUCACUCAGUGGUUUAAGGAUCUAGCAUUGCUGUGAGCUAUGGUGUAUGGUGUAGAUUGCAGACGUGACUCAGAUCCUGCAUUGAUGUGGCUGUGGUGUAGGUCAGCAGCUGUAGCUCCAAUUAGACCCCUAGCCUAGGAACCUC
rnacentral:lncRNA from 1 species